rnacentral:rRNA from 1 species
UACGGGGGGGGCAAGCGUUGUUCGGAAUUACUGGGCGUAAAGGGUUCGUAGGUGGCCAACUAAGUCAGACGUGAAAUCCCUCAGCUUAACUGGGGAACUGCGUCUGAGACUGGAUGGCUUGAGUGCAGGAGAGGAACGCGGAAUUCCAGGUGUAGCGGUGAAAUGCGUAGAUAUCUGGAGGAACACCGGUGGCGAAGGCGGCGUUCUGGACUGCUACUGACGCUGAGGAACGAAAGCUAGGGGAGCAAACAGG